rnacentral:rRNA from 1 species
UACGAAGGGGGCUAGCGUUGCUCGGAAUCACUGGGCGUAAAGCGCACGUAGGCGGACUCUUAAGUCGGUGGUGAAAUCCUGGAGCUCAACUCCAGAACUGCCUUCGAUACUGAGAGUCUCGAGUCCGGGAGAGGUGAGUGGAACUGCGAGUGUAGAGGUGAAAUUCGUAGAUAUUCGCAAGAACACCAGUGGCGAAGGCGGUUACCUGGGGCUUUGCUGACGCUGAUGCGCGAAAGCUAGGGGAGCAAACGGG